rnacentral:rRNA from 1 species
GUCAUACUUUUGUAGCAGGAUAAAACGACUUUAGGUUUAUAAAAUAAUAAACUAAGACAGUGGUGAAAUACGAAUAUGUUAUCCUCCACAUAUUUAUUUAAUUUACUAAAUAUUGAUAUUAAACAAGGAUUAGAUACCCUUUUAUACAAUACUGGAGAUUAACCUACUGAGUAGUACGAUUGUAAGAAUUAAAACUUAAGCAACAUGGCGGUAAUCUUUAUAUUUAGGGGAACUUACUAAUUAAAUGAUAACCACCAAGGUAUUCAACUUUAUAAAAUUCUUGUAUGCCGCCGUCGUCAGGUAUGAUUCAAUAUUCUACCAAAAUGUAUUAAUACAAAAAGACAGGUCAAGGUGCAGACAAUUAUAAAGCCUACGCGAGUUACAAUUUUAUAUUAAAGCAGCGGUUCCUAAUAAAAAUAACUAAAGAAGGACUUAACAGUUAAUUAUUAUAGUUUUUACAUUAUGAACUAUUAGAGAUUGUGUACAA